UCAUUUAUUAAUAUUAAAUUAUUAAUUAAUAAUUUAAUAAAAAUAUAAUAAAUGAAGGUAAUUCACCUUCAAUUACAAUUAUUACUUGAUCCAAGUCACUAGCCUGACACCAGAUGGCAGGAGUCAACUAAACAAUGUAGGCUAGCUUAUUAGGUAAAUGUUUUGAAUACAGAUCUUGGGCAGGAGGCAUUGGAGUGUCAGGUAGAGGCAUAUUUUUGCCUUUUAGACACCCAAAGAGAAGUGGUUACUAACCCAGGUGCAUUUGUGUACAUUUUUGAUGAUCUAGAAAACAAGAAUAUAUUGGUUUAAAAUGUGUGGAAGAGAGUACCAAAUCCCUCUUGCCUUUUUUCUUAUAUUCAUUGAAAGACUGCUUAUUAUAGUUAUUCCCAGUCAAAACCCUGACUUUAAUUCCCAAUUCUGCCAGCUAAAACCCUGGCUAUAACAUUUUCCUCAUGGCAGCUAUCAUAGCAGGAGGUUUUCCCCAUGGUCCCCUAAAUUUUGCCAGAUUAUUUCAUUAUAUUGAUUUUCUUAGUAAAAUGCUCUCUAGUUCAUAUUACUUGUGGAUCUAAACUACAUACCUCUAAAGUAAUCUGUGAUUUAAUCCACUUAUUAGUGGGCCCUGCAGCCCAUCUGCUAGAACACCUUAUAUAAAACCAAAUUAGAGAUAUCUAAUUUUGAAUAAUCAAAUUAUAAAUCUCCAAAUAGCUCACUUGAUUAUAUAAUGAUAUGAGAUUACUAUUCAUCAGAUACUACAUAUGGAUAACAGCCUGGUCCAGAUUUGAACAAGAAGUAUCAGAAUAGUUUGGAUUAUUUUUGAGAAAUUACAGAGUAUUUUUAAUGACCUCAGACUUCUCCCUUGAAUAAAAGGCUUUUAUUGUUUUUACAUCAGUAUUCUUCUGGUGAUACCGUAUGAUUGUGAGUUGUAUAGAAUAGUCUCCAAAGAAUUUAAGUUGAAAAUCACCUAAAGGGCGAUAGGGUGGUACAUUGAGCAGGCUUAACAUUUGACUAGUAAAUUCUACAGGAGACAAAAUUAUAAAGAGUAAAUUCAGAAGGAUGAUGUGAUCAAGAAAGGAAAAAAAAUAAGAGAGGACAACUUGAUAGAUAGCUAUAUGCUCCAUGGAGAGCUAUACAGCAUGAACAUAUCAAGAAAAAAAAUGGUCCCAGCACAUCAAGUGGACGUCCUGUGAUAAAUUUAUGGAGGAUGUGGAUGAGAGUUGCACCAGGAUGGAUAGGUCAAGGUGAGUUCUCUCCUUUUUUUAUUUUCUUUCUUUAAACCCUUACCUUCUGUCUUAGUAUCCACGGUCAGACAGAAGAGUGGCAAGGGUUAAGCAAUUGGGGAUAAGUGACUUGUUCAAGGUCACCCAGCUUGGAAGUGUCUGAGGCCAAAUUUGAAGCUUCCCCUUAGAUGAUUUCUAUUCUAGGUAUUCAUUUUAGGUGAUCCUGGCAUGGUUGAAAUUUAAAUUCCAUUAUGAAUUGGACAUUAAUCCUCAGUAUCUGGUCCAUUUCUACUUACUCAUUACCCACAUAUGUUUAUUACCUACAUCCAAAUAAAUGGACCCAUUUCCUUACUUUAAUAUUCAUAUUCACGUACAUUAAUUCUAUUAAUGCCCUGUUUAUCUGAAAGGGAGAUUUCCAGACCACAGUCCAGAACCAGAAAUGCAUUUUUUAAAAAGGUCAUCGAACCCCAGAAACAGAUGUCUUAAAGCUCCAGCCACAGAGAUGCAUUCUUUGCCACUUAGGUUCUUUCUCAGAGCCUUUUUGUUUUGUGGUCUAUUUAACAAAUCAUCCUUAACAAGCUUGGUUAUCUUGUUUUAUAGCCUCACAGCAGGUUAGAAGCAGUAACCUAGAAGGGGGCUUGGAGCUCUGUUAGUCAGUCUGCACAGUGAGUGUAGCAUAAAAGAAUAUUGGUGGCCCCACAUGAGGGAAAAGGAUGAGAACAAAAGAAAAGCAGACAAUUGUGACUACACAGGAAGACACUGAACUUCCAAACAAUAAUGAUGAUGAAAGCCAGCAGCAAUUUUAACAUUGGCAAAGCACUUUACAAAUAUUAUUUUGUUCUAUCCUCACACAAACCUGUGAGGUAGGUAUUAUUAUCUUCAUUUUACAAACAAAGAAACGGAGACAAAUGGGGAUGAAGUGACACACACAGGAGUCACACAGCUAGUCUUUUAGGUCAAAUUUGAAUUCAGGAUGUCCUGAAUCCAGAGCCAAUGUUUUAACCAUUGUACUUCCUAAACUCCCUUGUGAUGACCAGCCGUCUAGUUAGCUUAAAUUAUUUCAAAUUUUCUGUUUGAAAAGGCAUCUAGAAAAGCUUAAAUCCUUUCAAAUCCUGUUUUAAAAGACUAGAAAACCUUGAAUCAUUUCAAAUCCUGUUUGAAAAGUGUUUAUUACAAUUUAAAUAAAAGAUUUCCAUAAGGAAUCUUUAAAAUUGGGGAAGGGAAGUUCAAAGGUUUUAGUUUUCUAGAAAAUUUACUUAUAUGCAUCCCCUACUGUUACUAGCUAAAAGAGAUGGUUUGAUAUAUGAAUACCUACAUACAUAGAGGUAUAUAUAUACACAGACACAUAUUUUUUUUGGUCUAGACCUGUGAUUUCAUCAGGUAUGGAAGUGCCUUUCAAUGAUUUAUCUUUGAAAGUCCCAGAGACUCAGAGGGGUUAAUGCCUUGCCCAGGGUGCCCCAACUUGUCAGAAGUUUUAGAGGGGGAUAGGCUGCUCAGUGUGAGAGCCAGGCAUAGAGGGGAGGUCCUGGGUUCCAAUUUGACCUCAGAUACUUCCUGGCUGUGUGAUUCUGGUCAAGCUCCAUUUCCUAGUCCUUAAGCUCUUCUGCCUUGGAACCAAUGCACACUAAGAGGUUUUUCUCCGGACUCUAAAUCUGCUUCUACUGCUGCUGCAUUGUAAUAGAGAGAAUAAAAUGUCUUAGGGCCUCUAGAGAGAUGUGGGGGACUCGAAGAGAGAAAUAACUUGCCCAUGGUCACUGGGUCACUGUAAGAAGUCAAAUCUUCAGCGCUCCAGGCUCUACUGUGUCCACGCCCCCAGGAGCCUCCAUACCACUAUAAUUCCUUUUCUUCCCACAGGAAAUGAAUAAAGCCAAGGACCAAGCGCCAUCUUUGUACAAGGUAGGUAGAGAGAAUGGAGGGUGGUGAGGCAUAAAAAGGAAUGAAGUAAAUUGCUCUCUUUCCUGGCUGUGUGGGAAGGUGAGCCCAGGACAGGAUAAUUGGACAAGAAGAACGGUAAGUAAUUUCACCCCUGGGCAGAAUAGGAGUCCAAGAAUGAUUAAAGAAACUGGGACAGUCUAAAACAAAACCUUGAUGCAAACAAACCCCAAACCAAUUUAAUUUAAUUUAACAUUGGAGGGACACAAAAGGGUUGAGGAGAAAUAACAUGGUCAAAGAGUCAUCUCCCACCUUAUAUUUGCAAAGGGAUUUACAGUCAUUUUAUUUAUUGCACUUCAGUUUAUGAAGAUGAAUGGAUUAUCCCAUUUUCAUAUAUAAGAAAACUUGGGAGGAGGGACAGUGAAUGCCAAGAACUCUCAAAUCUAGUCCCAUUCAACAGUAGGAGCAAAGUUGAGAUUCGAUGGAAUUUUUAGCCUUUUGCUUACCUAAUGAGAACUAUACUUCUAUCCCAAAGUUUAACAUUUAUUUUCCCCUUUAAGGAAAAAAAAUUUCUUCCUUCUUUUUUAAGAAGUCGAGGCCUAAGAUAACCAGUGGAACAGGGCACUUAAGUCAAUUAAAUACUCCAAUAAAUCUUUUGACUAAAUUAUUCAGCAAUUCAUUUCUAGAGUGUUUCGAUUUUCAGAUAUCUUGUUUUUGAAAAGGUUUAGAGACACGGGUGUAUUCUUACCAAGUCCUGGGUAGAUCUUAAUUUUGUCAUUAAGGUAGACUUCGGAUUUUACUUUAUUGAUUAAGCCUGGGAAAAAUUGACACUAUUCAUUUUGUAUGCACACAGUCUAUGAAAACAUUCAUUGAUUUCCCAAGCAGUAAAGGAAGAAUGAUAUCUUUUAUAUUGGAAUCUGCUUUUGAGAUUGCACAUUUUAUUUGAGAUUUUUACUUUGUUGAUAAAAAAUGAAUCUUAUCAAGGACACAUGUAAUACCCAGUGGAAUUGCACAUCGGCUAUGGGAAGGGCAGCAGGAGGGGAGGGAGGAAUAGAAUCUGAUUUUUGUAACCAAAGAAUAAUGUUUGAAAUUGACCAAAUAAAAUUUUUAAAAAAUGAAUCCUAGUCAACAUCUUAUUAAAGUUUAAAGAAGAGAUCCUGAUUAAGGCCAGGCAGAACCUUAGCCAAUAAUUAUACCUUUAACCUCAGGGCAGGACAAUGUCUUCUAACUAAUUAUAAAUCUUUGAUAAUAAAUAAUGUUAUUUAUAAUAAAUUUCAAAUUUCAACAUUGUAAUAAUUUUUUAUGAAACUUUUCUUAACUCUAGAAUUUCCAAGAUUAGGCAGCUCCUAAGCUAAAGUACUUUAUUCUCAGGUCUCACAGCAUCUCACUGAGUUGGUUCCCUUUUUAUCUAUAAACAACAACUCUCAUAGGUAAGGGAAGUCAGCAAGCUCUAGCUAUUAAAGUUAGCAGCCAGGUGGCUGGGAAAAGCUUGUGCUGGUGUCUUCUUUGUGAGUUCCAUCUCUCCUGUGAUAAAGUAAGGGGGGAGGGGAGAGGAGUUGAGGUCUCUAGAUCGAUCUCUUCUCUCAAAAAUAUCCACUAAUGGGGACUGGCAGAGGAGGCCCUAAGGUCCAGCUAGCUGGCCACUCAGAAAGAGGACACAGCUCCUUUUAGAAGCAACAGACAGGACUCUCUUUUUUGCUUUGGAGACCAAUGAGAGAGCUUCCAUUCUUUGUUAGCAGACACAUAAAUCUGUUAAUAAAACAAUGUUAUUCCCAGAGAAAUGGCCUCAUAUCCUUUAUUGGUAAAAGAUCAAAACGCACUAUAUGUGUAUCAAUUUGUUAACCUCAAAGCUCUAUAUAAAAUGCAAUUUUGUAUUUUUUUUUUCAGGAAUAGAAUGAGCUAGAUGGCUUUUCCUGUCCCUUCCAACUGGAUUUCUGCAAUCCUGUGAAAUGUUUGUUGGAUUAGAGGGGAAAAAGUGAAAAAUAAGGAACAGCUUUUUGGAAUUGAAGUGGGGAUCUCUCAGUAUCCUUUCUCUUUCCAUUCAAGUCUACUAUUAAGAAAGAAGCCUGUUUUGAAGGGAGUUUGAUGAUUUUUAAAAAGUCCUGGGUUCCACAUCAGAAGAUCUAGGUAGGUUCAAGUCCUGUUUACUAUUUUCUAGUUGUGUCAUGAUCUUGGGAAAAUCAUUGCAUGUCUAAGGGCAUGGUGGUACACUGUCUAAUUCCUAGGGUUGUUGUGACUAAAACUCUUGGCAAACAAAAAAAAAUCUAAAUGUGAACAUUGUUUUUAUUAUUACUGAUAUUAUACUUAAUACCACCUCUGGGCUACUACCCUCUUGGCACUUAUACUUAAGGAUUGGUUUUCCACAUUUUAGGAAUAACUCCUAGUUAGUAGUAGUAGUCUCUUGGUAACCGAGGAUGACAUUUGUUUUUGUGCGUUUUUGUGCACAAAGACACUUGUGCAUGAAAAUUUAAAUUAAAUUUAACUCCUAGUACUGCAAUUUAUAAACCCCAACUUAGUAUUUCCCAAGCACAUUCAGCCAGUAAAUAAUUAGUUUUUAUUUGAAAAAAUUCUUACCUUCUCUCUUAGAAUUGACGCUGUAUGUUGGUUCCAAGUCAGAAGAGUGGUAAGAACUAGGCAAUGGAGGUUAAGUGACUCACCCAGGGUCACACAGCUAGGAAGUACCUGAGAUCAGAUUUGAACCUAAGACUACCCUCUCUAGUCCUGGCUCUUUAUCUGCUGAGCCACCUCAGUGGGCAGCCACUGAGUUGCCCAAAUAAUUAGCUUUUAGUGAAAGGCAUUUUCUAAGAUGAUAUAAUUUUUUUUAAAGGGUUGGUACAAGACAUCCUUACCAACAGUAUAUCCAUUGGCUGUCCUUUCCUACAAAUAGACACAACAUCCAUAGAAAGUAGGGGUUCCGAUUUAGAAUAUAAUGCUAUUGAAGCCAGGUUUAGGAUACAUAUUUGGCAAAGAAUAAUUCACAACUUCUGGUGCUCUAUGACCUGGAAGUCUUUCUUCACUUUGUAGGAUCCUCACACAGCUCCCUUUAGGGCUACCAUCUUGGCUGGGAGAUGCACUCAGAAGGGCACUCAGGGUCACCUCCUUUCUUGAGAACCUUCUUUAUGGCUAUGAAGAAUUGUAUUCCUUGAAUCCAUUUUCCUCCUUUAGAGAAUCUGUGUGUGUGUGUGUCCAUGUCUCUCCUCGGGUAUGUGUUUCUGCUACUCCCAAACUGACACUCAUCUCCUUCUGCUCUUAUAGUUCUGGUGACAUGACCAGUGGAGGGGGAGAAGAAGAAGAGAAAGCUUCCCUCUUCUCUCUCCCACAGGGCUGCUCUUGGGUACAGGUGAAGGAUCUGUUCCUACCAGUACCUACAACUCCUGGAGUUCAUCCUCCUACUGAAAGCCUGCAAGAGGUGUAGCUGCCUUGUUUGUUCAGCCCACAGCCUUGUUAACUUCUUGGUAAUCAGAGAGUUCACACCAGGUAAAGUGGAUUCUUGUUUAUACCUUAAAGCUCAUCUUGUAUGACUGUUUAGAAGUAGAAUCUACACAAAUUCUUGGCACCUACUUAACAUUUUUUUCUUUCAUUUAUUUGUUUAUUUAUUUUUAUUUUAAUAAAAAUUUUUCAGAUAAGUUUUCUGAAGUUAUACAAUCCAAAUUGUCUUUCUUCCCCCAAUCCCAGAGUUGGCAAACAAUUCAAUCUGGGUUAUAUAUGUAUUAUCACACAAAACAUAUUUCUAUAUUAUUCAUUUUUAAGUAAAUAAUUUUAUAAAACCAAAACCCUAAAACAUAAACCAAAAUAAACGAGUGAUAAAUCAUAUGCUUCCAUCUGCAUUCUUACCCCAACAGUUAUUUCUCUGAAGGGGGAUAGUAUUCUUUUUCAUAAGUCCUUCAGAAUUGUUCUGGAUCAUUGUAUUGCUGUUAGUAGCAAAGUCUGUCACUUUUGAUUGUUCCACAAUAUAGUUACUGUAUAUAGUGCUUUCCUGGUUCUGCUUAUUUCACUCUGCAUCAGUUCAUCUAGGUCAUUCCAGCUCUUUCUGAAGUCAUCCUGUUCAUCAUUCCUUGUGGCACAGUAGUAUUCCAUCACCAAUAUUGCUGUUGUUGUUGUUACAAUAUUUCACUUAUGUUCUGCUUAUUUCACUCUGCAUCCAUUUCUGCAGAUCUCUCCAGCUUUUUCUGAAAUCAUCUUGCUUAUUAUUCCUUAUAUAGCAUAAUAGCAUUCCAUCACCGUGAUAUACCACAAUUUGUUCAGGUAUUCCCCAAUUGAGGGACAUCCCUUUGAUUUCCAAUUCUUUACCAUCAUAAAAAGUGCAGCUAUAAAGAUCUUUCCCAUUUUAAAAAAUGUCUUUGGGCGACAGACCUAGUAAUGGUAUUACUGGAUUAAAGGGUAUACAUUUCCUUUAUAUCCUUUUGACCAUAGUUCCAAAUUACCCUCUAGAAUGGUUGGAUCAGUUCACAACUCCACCAUUAUGAAUUUUAAAACUACUCCACUCUACUCAGACUACUUUAGAAGAUCUGAUUUAGCUAUUUCCUGAUUAGUAAAAAUGGAGAUACUUGGUUUAACAGAAUUAGGUCUUGGGAAUUCUACAUUGAUCCAACUUACUAAGUUUAACAAGGUCAAGAAUGUUUGCACCAUACUCAGGGAUUAAGUAUCUGAGGAAAUGGCCUUCAACAGACAUGUGCAGAAACAGCAGACACACUCCUGGGCUAUCCUAAGUCAAGCUAAUUUAUCAUUGGUACAGAUGAGACACAGGAAAGUGAUGUAAAACCAUCUAUAUAAGGCAUGUCACUUCCUCUGCUCUCCCUCUUUCCCUGGAGAGGCGACUCUGGCUGAUAGCAUGCUAAGCAUUCCAACAUCUUGGCAUGGUGGCAGCUAUUUGUCUGGGUUUUGGCGGUGAGUUUUCCCUUCAGCUGAUUCAAGUUCAGGCAUCUUGGCUAAGCCCUUUUUGGAGUUCAGGCUGAUUCCUUCCUCCUUAUUCUCUAAACCCUUACCUUCCUAGAGCCUCUGGUCUUCCUCCUGGCACUAUCCAGGUGGGGGAAAUCCUACACCCUUUCCUUCUUCCUUCUUAAUUUCUUUCCACUAUAUCAAUUAAAUCACCAUAAAUUUCCAGUUGACUUGGUUAUAUUUUUUUAUAUUUGGGAUAUCUAUGGUGACCAAAUAAUUAACAUAGUUUAGGUCACAACACUAAAAUUAUCUUUUAUACCAGCAAUGCAUUAGUGUCCCAAUUUUGCCAUAUCCCCUCCAAUAUUUAUAAUUUUGCUUUACUGUCAUAUUGACUGAUCUAAUAGGUCUGAGGCAGUACUUAAGAGUUGUUUUAAUUUACAUUUCUAUAAUCAAGAUGGAUUUAUUAAAAAUUUUUCAUAUGAUUAAUGAUAGCUUUAACUUCUUCAUAUGAAAACUACCUAUUCAUAUCCUUUAACCAUUUAUUAAUUGGAGAAUGACUUGGAUUCUUAUCAGUUUGACUUAGUUCUUUUUAUGUUUGGGAAAUGAGACUUUUAUUAGAGAAAUUUGUAAUAAAAUUUUUCCCCAAUUUGUUGUUUCCCUUCUAAUCUUGGUUGCUUUGGUUUUGUUUAUACAAAACCUUUUAAAUUUAAUAUAUUCAAAAUUAUUCAUUUUACAGCUUGUAAUAUUUUCUUUGGUCAUAAAUUCUUCCCUUCUCCAUAAAUCUGACAGGUAAACUAUUCUAUGUUCCCCUAAUUUACUUAUAAUAUCACUCUUUAUGUUUAAAUCAUAUUCCUAUUUGGACUUUAUCUUGGUAUAGGGUGUGAAAUAUUGAUCUAAACCUUUUUUUUUUUUGGCAAUACUGUUUUCCAAUUUUCCCCGGCAGUUUUUGUCAAAAAGUGAGUUCUUAUCCCCCAAACUGGAAUCUUUGGGUUUAUCAAACACUAGGUUGCUGCGGUCAUAUACUCCUAAUCUGUUCCAUUGAUCUGCCUUUCUAUUUCUUAGCCAAUACCAAAUUAUUUUGAUGAUUACUGAUUAUAAUACAGUUUAAGAUCUGGUACCAUGAGGCAACCAUCCUUCACAUUUUUUCAUUUGUUCCUUUGAUAUUAUCGACCUUUUUUUUUCCAGAUGAAUUUUGUUCUCAUUUUUUCUUGUUCUAAAAAAUAGUUUGGUUGGCAUGGAGUGCACUGAAUGAGUAAAUUAAUUUAGGUAGGUAGGUUUUUAUUAUAUUAGCUCAACCUACUUGAGCAAUUAAUGUUUUCUCAAUUGUUUAGAUCUAACUUUAUUUCUGUGAUGUGUUUUGUGAUUAUGUUCAUAUAAUUACUGUAUUUGUCUUGGCAAAUAGAUUCCCAGGUAUUUUAUAUUGUCUAGAGUGAUUUUAAAUGGAGUUCCUCUAACUCUUGCUACUGGACUUUGUUGGAAAUAUAUAGAAAUGCUAAUGAUUUAUAUGGGUUAUUUUGUAUCCUGCAACUUUGCUAAAGCUAUUAAUUAUUUCAACUAAUUUUAGUUGAUUUUCUAGGGUUCUCUAAAUACACCAUCAUAUCAUCCACAGAGUGUGAUAGUUUAGUUUCCUUAAUGCCUGCUUUAAUUUCUUCAAUUCCUUUUUCUUCUCUAAUUGCUAAAGCUAGUAUUGCUAAUACAAUAUUAAAUAAUAGAGGUGAUAAUGGGCAUCCUUGCUUCAUUCCUGAUCUUAUUGAGAAGAAUUUUAACUUAUCCCCUUUGCAAUUGAUACUUGCUGAUGGUUUUAAAUAAAUACUACUUAUUAUUUUAAGGAAAGGCUCUUUUAUUCUUAUACUUCAUAAUGUUUUUAAUAGGAAUGGGUGAUAUAUUUUGUUAAAAGUCUUUUCUGAAUCUACUGAGAUAAUCAUGUGAUUUCUGUUAGUUUAAUAAUAGAUAUGGUCAAUCAUGAUGAUAGUUCUAAUAUUAAACCAGCUUUGCAUUCCUGAUAUAAAUCCUACCUGGUCAUAGUGAAUAAUACUUGUGAUAUAUUGCUGUAGUCUCUUUGCUAAAAUUUUUUAAAAAUUUGUUUGCAACAAUGUUCAUUAAGAAAAUUGGUCUUUAAUUUUCUUUCUCUGUUUUUGGUCUUCCUGGCUUAGGUAUCAGCACUGUAUUUGUGUCAUAGAAAAAAUUUGGUAGUACACCUUUUUUGAUUAAUUUGCCAAAUCAUUUGUAUAGUUUGGGGAUUAAUUGUUUUUUAAACAUUUGAUAGAAUUCACUUGUGAAUCCAUCUAGCCAGAUGGGGGAUUUUUUUCUUAGGGAGUUCAUUGAUGGCUUGUUAAAUUUAUUUUUCUGAGAUAGGAGUAAGUAAGUAUUCUAUUGCCUUUUUUGUUAAUCUAGGGAAUUUAUAUUUUUGUAAAUACUUAUCUAUUUCACCUCGAUUCUCAUUUGUUGUCAUAUUAUUGGGCAAAAUAGUUCCUAAUGAUUGCUUUAAUUUCCUGUUCAUUGCAAGUAAAAUCAUCCUUUUCAUUUUUGAUACUGGUAAUUUGUUCUUUUCUUUCCUUUUUUAAAAAUCAAGCUAAUCAGUGCUCUAUCUCUUUUCUUUGUUUUUUUAUAGAACCAAUUCCUAGUUUUAUUUAUUGGUUCAAAAUUUCUUUUAUUUUCAGUUUUAUUAAUUUCCCCUUUGAUUUUUAGGGUUUCCAAUUUAGUCUUUAAUUGGGAGUUUUAACUUGUUCUUUUUCUCAUUUUUAAAAGUUGUAUCCUCAAUUCAUUGAUCUGUUUUUUCCUCUGUUUUAUUAAUAUAAGCAUUCAGGGAUAUAAAUUUCCCCCUGAAUAUUGCUUUUGCUUUGUCUGUAUCCUGUAAAUCUUUGGGAAUGAGUGUAUAGAGGGAAAGAUAAUGAGUUAAUUUCCUUUUGUUGCACCCAUACUUUGUUUCCAGGAUUUUACCCUGUAAGAUAAAGAAUCCUAGGAAUAUUUUUGCACAUACUCUUCUUUGAGAUACAGCCUCAAUAGUGAAAUCUCAGGAUCAAAGGGCAUAAACAAAUUGGCAACUUUUCUACAUAUUUCAAACUGUUUCCCAGAUCAGUUGAACUACUUCUUGACUCCAUCAAGAGUGAACCCAUUAGGCAGCUGGAUAACUCAGUGGAUUGAGAGCCAGGCCUAGAGACGAGAAGUCCUAGGUUCAAAUCUGACCUCAGACACUUCCCAGCUGUGUGACCCUGGGCAAGUCACUUGACCCCCAUUGCCUAGCCCUUACCACUCUCCUGCCUUGGAGCCAAUACACAGUAUUGACUCCAAGAUGGAAGGUAAGGGUUUAAAAAAAAAAAAGAGCAAACUCAUUUGUCUGUCUUUCCAUUACCCAUGCAAAAAUUUUUCCAUCUUUUAGCAGCUUUGAUAGUGGAGUAUAUGAUGAUACUCUGAUUAUUCUAGUGUUUUUGAACAUUUUCCCAGUAGUUAUUGUUAGUUUAUAUUUCCUCUCUUGAAAACUCUUACUUUAUAUCUUUUCAUUGCAUAAGUGUGUCAUGACACAAUCUUUUAUGUUUGUAUCAAAUUCCUUUUGAUUGUGCACAUAAGACUUUUUUUUUAGUUAUUUAAUGUGAAGUUCUCUCUGCCCGCCUCCCCAAGUGUGUCUUGUAGUGCUAGCUGCAUUGGUUUAAUUUACAAAGCUUCUAAAUCUUAUAAUAUUAGUGCUGCAAAAUUUGCCUUUCAUAAUCUAUUCUAUCCCUAUUCUGAUGUUAGAAUUUCCCUUUGUACUUAAUGAUGAAAUAUAUAGCCUUCUAACUUAUUCAUAGUGUGAUGGGGUUUUUGUUGUUGUUGUUUUGUUUUUUGUUUUCUUUUGUUUUUUUGUAUUUGGAUAACAUUCAUUUGGAAUAGAUUGUGGCAAAAGACCCAGGUUUCACCAGGUUGCUAUGUAUCAGUUUUCCCAGCAGUUAUUGUCAAAUAAAGAAUCUCUUCCCUAGUAGUUUGUGUUCUUGGGUUUAUUGCUCACUAGGUUGCCAUGUAUGUUUCUUCUCAUCUCACUUACCUAGUUUAUUCUACUCCUCUGCUUUGCUACCCUUAUCCAGUACUAGAUAGUUUGAAUGAUUGUUGCCCCAUAGUAUAGUUGGAGAUUUGCUAGAACCAUGCCUCUUUUCUUCCUACAUUUUGUUCCCUUCAUACUUUUGUACCUCUUGCAUUUUGCCAAAAAAUUUCAUUAUAUUUUAAAUUUUUAUGUUAUCUCUCUUGGAAAAUGUUUGGUGAAAAAAUUUGGUGCAGUAAUUUAGGUAAUAACAACAUUUUAAUUCUACUUUUGUGUUAGCUAAGAAUAUGGUCUAUCUCUAUAAUUACUUAGAUCUUUUAUUUUUGUAAAAGUUAUUUUGGUAUUAAAUUAAUAGAGGUCUGGUUUAUGUUUUGGUAGGUUAAACCAAAUAUUUUAUAUGUUUUAUCUUACAUUGAAUUUCUUUUCUUAUUUCUUUUGUUGAUUAUUGUCCUUCACAUUCAAAGAGGACCAAGAUGAUAUUUCUGCUGUCUUUUGACUCAAGCAUAAAUUGGAUCUAAGUAAGGCAAAGUUGCACAAAGUCAUCAGCCUCACUCUUUUCUGGAGACAUCCCAAGUCCAGUGGCAAAACAAAAGUCAAGAUGACUGGUGAUGGCUCAGGAUGCAGUGGAUGACUUUGGCUUCUUCGAUGUCUAAUCAAGCUCCAAAGGCUCCACAACACCUACUUCGGUUUCCUUUAUGGCCAUUGGAACAAAUUGUUUUCAUCUGCCCAUUCUGCCAACGGGACAUGCUUGAGGUAGACACCCCUCCCCCAAUUCACUGAUGAGUUUGAGACCCGUCAGUUAUUCUCAACAUUCUCGCCCCUGUGAACCCAAUUUACCAACGUGUGGCUACAGGGCAAGCGACAGCUUCUUGGAGCCACAGGUGAGAGCUGAGUGUCAGGUAGACAUCAAAGAAGGAAAUCAGCUUCAUAAAGGGUUUAGCAAGCCCUCACACCACAUGUUCUAGUCUUUCAUGAACAUCCCACGUACCCCCAUUUCUUCUGUUAAUAUUUUACCAAAGCUGGUGACUUUUAUGGAUUUAGUUUGCAUGCUGCUAUUACUGAAGCUUUCAUUAUUUUCAAGAAAUUUGUUAAUGAUUUUCCUGUGUUCUUUAAGUAAACCAUUAUAUUGUUACAAAGGGAAAUAUUUUUUGCUUUCUUUUUGUUUGUUGAUUUCAUCUUGUUCUAUUGCUACAGCUACUAUUUCUAGGACUAUGUUAAGUAAGAGUAGAGAUGGCAGAAACUCAUACUUAAAAUAGUGUUUUCUUUUAUAAAUAAUUCUAUGCUUGGGUUUUAAAUGGAUGCCUUUUCUUCUAAUAAGAAAAAGUCAUUUCCUUGCUAACAUUUAAAGUUAGUCAUAUGUUAUCAGGCCUUUUCUGCAACUAUCAGUAUAAUCUUGUGAUUUUAAAAAUUAUUUUAUUAUUAACAAUGGUUAUUUUAUAGCAAAAUUUUCCUAAUGUGAAAUUAUUCUUGUAAUCUUAUUAUAAAGACUACUUUGCUAGAGGGAAUAAAAUGUUUUAAAACAUCUUUGCUUUACCUAUUUGCUAAUAUUUUAUUUAAUUUUUUUCAAAAUUAAUCUUUAAUGGUAUUAAUCUAUGCUUUUUUCUCUUUUUCUCUGUGUUAGUUGUCAAGAUCACUUUUCUUUUCAUAGGAAGAAUUUGGUACGGUGCCUUCUUUCUCUUUAUUCAAACAGUUUCUAUUGCUAAACAGUUUUCUGAUCUUUGAAUGUUUACUAGAACUCAUUUCCAAAUUCAUCUGGAUCAACACUAAUUUUCUUAGGAAAUUGAUUUGCUAAAUUUCUAAAUUUUUUAUAUUUUCUCUUCUAUCAAUCUAGUUAUUUCACAGUUUUGAAAAUAUUUAUCUGUGUUAUUAGGAAUUUUUUUAAAACCCUGACCUUCUGUCCUGGAAUCGAUACUGUGUAUUGGUUCCAAGGCAGAAGAGUGGUAAGGGCUAGGCAAUGGGGGUCAAGUGACUUGCCCAGGAUCACACAGCUAAGAAAUGUCUGAGGCCAGAUUUGAACCUAGGACCUCCCAUCUCUAGGUCUGGUUCUCAAUCCACUGAGCCACCCAGCUGCCCCCUUAUUGGGAAUUUUAAAAAUAUUCAUCCUUAUUAUUAGCAUUUUUAGUUUGUUGGAAUAUAAUCAUGCUAGAAGUUCCAGAGAAUAUUUUUUAUUUCCUUUUCAUUUAUCAUGACAUUCCAUUUCUCAUUUAAAAACAUUUUGAUGCAGAAGAAAACAUAUGAUUUAUCACUUGCUUAUUUUGGGUAUAUGAUUUGGAGUUUUGAUUUUAAAAGAUUACUCUAUUACAAAAAUGAAUAAUAUGGAAAUAGGUUUUGAGUGAUAAUACAUAUAUAACCCAGUGGAAUUGCUUGUCAUCUCUGGGGAGGGGGAGGGAAGAGAAGAGGGAGACAACACGAAUCAUGUAACCAUAGAAAACUUAUGUGUAAAUUUGUUACUGGAAUAAAAUAAAGAAAAAUUUAAGAAAGAAGUGUUUAUGUUUCAGGCACUAUUCUAAACUGAAAAUACAAAGAAAGAAAAGGCAGUCCCUUUCCUUGAGAAGGUCAUAAUGUAAUGAGAGCAAAUCAGAUUAGCUAAUCAUCUUUUUAUUGCAAUUUUUAUUUUAAAAAGCUUUUUAGUUUUAUUUCUCAACCAAUCUUUUUUUCCUUCAGGUUUGUUAAUUAAAAAAAAAAGAAAUUCUACUCCUGUGCUUGUUUGGGGAUAAUUUAUUUGUCAGUUUUCUACAUUUUCUAUUUGCACACUCAAUUCAUUGAUCUCCUUUCUGUUAAUGUGUGUUAUAAGAUAUAAUUUUUCUAUAAGAAUUGCUUUUGCUAGAUCCUACAAAUUUUGGGACUUUGUGUCAUUACUAUAAUUUUAUUUAACAAAGUUAUUUAUUAGGUCUAUGAGUUGUUUUUUGAUCCAUUUAUUAUUUAUGCUAUUAUUUAGUAUCAUUUACUUCUCUGUUCUUUGUUCACAUUAACUAUAUUGGUUUUGAAUUGUGUGUGUAAUGGUCUAUACAUGUUUAAUAUUUUUUGCCUAUGAUUGUUUAUGACUUCUUUAUGCUCUAGCACAUCAUCACAUUUAUCCCUCUAGCACAACAACUGUAUAGGAAGAAAUGACAAGACAUAAAUAGGUAUAUAGAUAUAUGUAUGCUUAAAUACAUAUACGUGUAUAUAUAUAUAUGCAUAUAUAUGUAUGUAUACAACUAGAGCUAAAAAAAGAGGUUCAUACUAAAAGAAAUGGGAAAAGAAACAAAAGGGGGUAAACUUAUAUGUCACAAAGAAGCUCAUGGUGGGAGGGGGGAGAACAUUAAUACACUGGAAGGGUAAAGAGGUUGGAGAUAGGAAAUACUCAACUUUUACAUGCAUUGAAAUUGACUCAAAGAGGGAAGAACAAUCAAAUACAUUGGGGCAGAGAAUUGAUUUGCGCCCUAUAGGGAAGUAGAAGGGUAACAAACAGAUUGGUGGGGAGGGAAGUAGUACAAGGGAGGAAUAGAGUGGAGGGGGUUAGUAUAAAAGGAUUGUAAAGAAAAUAAGAAGGGAAUAAGAACGGAGUGGAGGUUAGAAAGGGAAGCAAAAUAAGGGUGGGAAUUAGGGGGGCCAAUUAAAAACAAAACAUUGGUGUCAAAGGAAAUAGUGAAAGAAGAAAAGGCAGGAAUAGAAGUGGAAAUCAAAAUGCAGGGAAAUACACAGCUAGUAAUCAUAACUCUCAAUGUGAAUGGAAUGAACUCACCCAUAAAACGCAAGCAAAUAGCAGAGUGGAUUAGAAACCAAAACCCUACCAUAUGCUGUCUAUAAGAAACACACAUGAGGAAGGUAGACACACAUAGGGUAAAAGUAAGAGGGUGGAGCCAAAUCUAUUGGGCAUCAACUGAUAAAAAGAAGAAAGGAGUCUCAAUCAUGAUAUCUGACAAAGCCAAAGUAAAAAUAAAUCUAGUUAAAAGAGAUAGGGAAGGUAAUUACAUCCUGAUAAAAGGUAGUAUAGACAGUGAGGAAAUAUCAGUACUCAACAUGUAUGCAUCAAAUGGCAUAGCAUCCAAAUUUCUAAAGGAGAAACCAGUGGAGCUUAAGGAUGAAAUAGAUAGGAAAACUAUACUAGUGGGAAACCUGAAAGAUAGACCUUCUCAUAGACCUUCCUCUAUCAGAAGUAGAUAAAUCAAACCAAAAAAUACAUGAGAAAGAGGUAAGAUAAGUGAAUGAAAUCUUAGAAAAAUUAGAGUUAGUAGAUAUGUGGAGAAAAAUAAAUAGGGACAAAAAGGAAUACACUUUUUUUUCAGCAGCACAUGGUGCAUUCACAAAGACUGAACAUGUACCAGGGCAUAAAAACAUUGCAAACCAAUGCAAAAGAGCAGAAAUAAUAAAUGCAACUUCUUAGAUCACAAUGCAAUGAAAUUAAUAAUUAGUAAGGGAACAUGGAGAGGUAAAUAGAAAAUUAAUUGGAAAUUUAAAAAUACAAUUCUCCAAAAUCAGUUAGUUAAGGAACAAACCAUAGAAAUAACUAAUAAUUUCAUUGAAGAAAAUGACAAUGAUGAGACAUCCUUUCAAAAUCUAUGGGAUGCAGUCAGAGCAGUACUCAGGGGGAAAUUUAUAUCCUUGAGUUCAUAUAUUAACAAAUUAGAGAGGGCAGCAGUCAAUGAAUUAGGCAUGCAAAUUUAAAAAAACUAGAAAGUGAACAAAUUAAAAAUCCUCAGAUGAAGACUAAAUUAGAGAUCCUAAAAAUCAAAGGAGAAAUUAAUAAAAUUAAAAGUCAAAGAACUAUUGAUUUAAUAAAUAAGACAAGAAGAAGACUUGGAAAAAACAAAUAAAAUACACAACAUACUGGCCAAUUUAAUUUUAAAAAGGAAGGAAGAAAACCAAAUUGACAGUAUCCAAGAUGAAAAGGGAGACCUCACCUCUAAUGAAGAGGAAAUUAAGGUAAUCACUAAAAACUAUUAUGCCCAAUUAUAUGGCAAUACAUAUGGCAAUCUAGGUCAUAUGGAUGAAUAUUUACUAAAAUAUAAACUGCCUAGACCAACAGAGGAAGAAAUAGGCUACCUAAACAACCCCACAUUAGGAAAAGAAAUUGAAUAAGCCAUCAAAGGACUCCCUAAGAAAAAAUCCCCAGGUCCAGAUGGAUUCACAAAUUAAUUUUAUCAAACAUUAAAAGAACAACUAGUCCCAAAAUUAUACAAACUAUUCGACAGAAUAAGCAAAGAAGGAGUUCUACCAAAUUCCUUUUAACACACAAAUGUGGUACUGAUUCCAAAGCUAGGCAGGUCAAAAACAGAGAAAGAAAACUAUAGACCAAUCUAUUUAAUGAAUAUAGAUGCAAAAAUCUCAAAUAGGAUACUAGCAAAAAGAUUCCAACAAGUGAUCAUGAGAGUUAUUCACUAUGACCAGAUGGGAUUCAUACCAGGAAUGCAAGGAUGGUUCAAUAUUAGGAAAACCAUCUACAUAAUUGACCAUAUUAAUAAACAAACUGACAAAAUCACAUGAUUAUCUCAAUAGAUGCAGGAAAAAGCCUUUGACAAAAUACAACACUCAUUCCUACUGAAAAUACUAGAAAGUAUAGGAAUAGAAGGGCCUUUCCUAAAAAUAAUAAAUAGUAUAUAUCUAAAACCAUCAGCAAACAUCAUUUGCAAUGGGGACAAACUAGAAGCCUUCCCAAUAAGAUCAGGAGUGAAACAAGGAUGCCCAUUAUCACCUCUAUUAUUUAACAUUGUACUAGAAACACUAGCAAUAGCAAUUAGAGAAGAAAAAGAAAUUGAAGGUAUUAAAAUAGGCAAUGAGGAGAUUAAGCUAUCACUCUUUGCGGAUGAUAAGAAGGUCUACUUAAAGAAUCCUAGAGAAUCAACUAAAAAGCUAGUCGAAAUUAUCAACAACUUUAACAAAGUUGCAGAAUACAAAAUAAACCCAAAUAAGUCAUCAGCAUUUCUAUAUAUCUCUAACACAUCUCAGCAGCAAGAAUUAGAAAGAGAAAUUCCAUUUAAAAUCACCCUAGACAUUAUAAAAUAUUUAGGAAACUAUCUGCCGAGACAAACGUAGGAACUAUAUGAAAACAACUACAAAACACUCUCCACACAAUUAAAACUAGAUCUAAACAAUAACAAAGUUCAUUUGGAAGAACAAAAGAUCAAGGAUAUCCAGGGAAAUCGUGAAAAAAAUGCAAAGGAAGUAGAACUUGCAGUCCCAGAUCUUAAACUAUACUAUAAAGCAGUGCUCAUCAAAACAAUUUGGUACUGGCUAUGAGACAGAAAGGAGGAUCAGUGAAACAGACUUGGGGUAAGUGACCUCAGCAAGACAGUCUAUGUGAUAAGCCCAAAGAUCCCAGCUUUUGGGACCAAAAUCCACUAUUUGAUAAAAAUUGCUGGGAAAAUUGGAAGACAGUAUGGGAGAAAUUAGGUUUGGAUCAACAUUUCACACCCUACACCAAGAUAAACUCAGAAUGGGUUAAUGACUUGAAUAUAAAGAAGGAACAUAUAAGCAAAUUAGGUGAACACAAUAAUAUACAUGUCAGAUCUUUGGGAAAGGAAAGACUUUAAAACCAAACAAGAGCUAGGAAAAAAAUCCCAAAAUAUAAAAUCAAUAAUUUUGAUUACAUCAAAUUAAAAAGUUUUGUAUAAAUAAAACUAGUGCAACCAAAAUGAGAAGGGAAGCAACAAAUUGGGAAACAAUCUUCAUAACAAAAACCUCUGACAAAGGUCUAAUUACUCAAAUUUAUAAAGAGCCAAACCAAUUGUACAAAAAAAUCAAGCCAUUCUCCAAUUGAUAAAUGGGCAAGGGUGAUGAAUAGGCAAUUUUCAGUUAAAGAAAUAAAAACUAUUAAUAAAUACAUGAAAAAGUGUUCUAAAUCUCUUAUAAUCAGAGAGUUGCAAAUCAAAACAACUCUGGGGUAUCACCUCACGACCUAGCAGAUUGGCUAACAUGACAGCAGCAGAAAGUAAUGAAUGCUGGAGGGGAUGUGGCAAAGUUGGGACAUUAAUUCAUUGCUGGUGGAGUUGUGAACUGAUCCAAUCAUUCUGGAGGGCAAUUUGGAACUAUGCCCAAAGGGCAAUAAAAGAUUGUCUGCCCUUUGAUCCAGCCAUAGCACUACUGGGCUUGUACCCGAAAGAGAUAAUAAGGAAAAAGAAAUGUACAAGAAUAUUCAUAGCUGCACUCUUUGUGGUGGCAAAAAAUUAGAAAAUGAGGCGAUGCCCUUCGAUUGGGGAAUGGCUGAACAAACUGUGGUAUAUGUUGGUGAUGGAGUACUAUUGUGCUAAAAGGAAUAAUAAAGUGGAGAAGUUCCAUGGAGACUGGAACAACCUCCAGGAAGUGAUGCAGAGCGAAAGGAGCAGAACCAGGAGAACAUUGUACACAGAGACUGAUACACUGUGGUACAAUUGGAUGUAAUGGACUUCUCCAUUAAUAGCAAUGCAGUGAUCCUGAACAACUGGGAGGGAUCUAUGAGAAAGAUACUAUCCACAUUCAGAGGAAAAACUGUGGGAGUAGAAACACAGAAGAAAAACAACUGUUUGAAUACAUGGGUUGAGGGGAUAUGGCUGGGGAUGUAGACCCUAAAGGUUCACCCUAGUGCAAAUACCAACAACAUGGAAAUAGGUUCCAAUCAAGGACACUUUUAAUACCCAGUGAAAUUGCGUGGCAGCUGCGGGAAGGCUGGGGGAAGGGGAGGGAGGGAAAUAAUGUGAUUAUUGUAACUGAGGAAUAAUGUUCUAAAUUGACUAAAUAAAUUAAUUUAAAUUAAAAAAUCAAUAAAACCAGUAGGACAGAAAAAAAAAUGUUAACUCUUGUGUAUGCCAGAUGAUUAAAAUAGUCCUCUGCUCUUUAAUUCUCAAAAAAAAAAAAAGGUAGGAUCACUAAAUAUAUGCAGCUGUAUUGCUUGGAACAACUCUAUUCCAAUUUCCUCUUUUCCCUCUUCUCUCUGAGUUCAAACAAAAAUCAGUUAAUUUCACCACCCCCAUACAUACACACAUACAUCCUUUUGUUGUUGUUUUGUAAUCAGUCUUAUAAUCAAUAGUCUGUUUCACUUGUGGUGAUCACCUCUGAAAUCUUUCCCUCUCCUCCAUAUCCUGGAAUAUUUUUUGUGCUUAUUUUAUAGUAUAUUUAUUAGUAUACAUAAUAUUAUUCCUUGACAGUCUAGAUAAGGAUGAAAUUCAUUAGAAUUUUCUCAUUAGAAUCAAAGUAUGUUUGCAUAACCUUCGUCUAAAGUAUGCUAGUUACUAAAAAUAAUGUUUCUCUCUCUAUUACCUCUACCUUUCACUUUCUAAAUGAUAUUUUUGAGUAACCAGACAAUCCCUAGUCUUCCCAGGGCUUCAUUCCAUUCCCUAGAUGACUCAAAUAUGAGGAAGAAAAUUCCACUAAUAUUUCUCUACAUUUUCAGAAUAUAUACACAGAAUCACCUAGCCCUUAUGAGCAAUUCAAACUUGUUUACUUUUCUUAAGUUACUUUUGUUUUCCAUAUUUGCAUUUCACAGAAUCUAUUUGAUGUGAUUUUCUCAAAAGGUAAGUUUAGAAGUCAUCAGUUAUGUUAAAAAAUCAAUUUUUCCCAUUUUUAGGAAGAAUAAUCCUCCACCUUUUAGAAUAAACUAGGGGUAAAUCAUUUUUGUUUUGCUUUAAAAAAUGAUAAUAUUGCCUGUCCUUUAAUUUUUUAAUAUUGGUGAUUAGGUUGUGUGAUUCUGGCUUUGGUACCUUGAUACAUGAUAUGUCUUUUCCAGAGCACUUCUGAUUUAUUAUUUUUUUCUGUGACUUUAGAGCUCUGUAUUUUGACAUUCAUCUUUCUGGAUGAAUUAAAAUUAAAGUUUAUGUCCAAUAGUAUCCUGUGAAUCCUAUUAAUCUCUACUUGGCUCUUUAGUAGCACUCUUUCUGGGAAGUCUUAUUAUAUCCUAAAAUAUAGUCUUAAUUUUUUGUAUCUUCACAUUCUUGCAAAAAGUCAGCUUC